rnacentral:rRNA from 1 species
CCCCGGUUUAGUUGGAAGUAGGCGAUGGGUAGGCAAAUCCGCCCGUCAUAUACCGAGGCCAACGAUCGAGCCAGCUUGCUGGUGAAGUGACUGAACGAGGUUCCAGGAAAAGCCACUAAGCUUCAGCUAUACACGACCGUACCGCAAACCGACACUGGUGCGCGAGAUGAGUAUUCUAAGGCGCUUGAGAGAACUCAGGAGAAGGAACUCGGCAAAUUGACACCGUAACUUCGGAAGAAGGUGUGCCCUAUUAGUGUGAAGUGAACAACGGAGCAUGAAUGGGUUGCAAAAAAUCGGUGGCUGCGACUGUUUAUUAAAAACACAGCACUCUGCAAACACGAAAGUGGACGUAUAGGGUGUGACGCCUGCCCGGUGCUGGAAGAUUAAAUGAUGGGGUGCAAGCUCUUGAUUGAAGUCCCAGUAAACGGCGGCCGUAACGAUAACGGUCCUAAGGUAGCGAAAUUCCUUGUCGGGUAAGUUCCGACCUGCACGAAUGGCGUAACGAUGGCCACACUGUCUCCUCCUGAGACUCAGCGAAGUUGAAAUGUUUGUGAUGAUGCAAUCUCCCCGCGGAAAGACGGAAAGACCCCAUGAACCUUUACUGUAGCUUUGUAUUGGACUUUGAACAGAUCUGUGUAGGAUAGGUGGGAGGCUUUGAAGCAGGGUCGCUAGAUCUUGUGGAGCCAACGUUGAAAUACCACCCUGGUGUGUUUGAGGUUCUAACCUAGGUCCAUUAUCUGGAUCGGGGACGGUGCAUGGUAGGCAGUUUGACCGGGGCGGUCUCCUCCCAAAGCGUAACGGAGGAGUUCGAAGGUACGCUAGUUACGGUCGGACAUCGUGACGAUAGUGCAAUGGCAUAAGCGUGCUUAACUGCGAGACUGACAAGUCGAGCAGAUGCGAAAGCAGGACAUAGUGAUCCGGUGGUUCUGUAUGGAAGGGCCAUCGCUCAACGGAUAAAAGGUACUCUGGGGAUAACAGGCUGAUACCGCCCAAGAGCUCAUAUCGACGGCGGUGUUUGGCACCUCGAUGUCGGCUCAUCUCGUCCUGGGGCUGUAGCCGGUCCCAAGGGUAUGGCUGUUCGCCAUUUAAAGAGGUACGUGAGCUGGGUUUAAAACGUCGUGAGACAGUUUGGUCCCUAUCUUCCGUGGGCGCUGCAGAUUUGAGGAAGCCUGCUCCUAGUACGAGAGGACCGGAGUGGACACACCUCUGGUGUAUCGGUUGUCACGCCAGUGGCAUUGCCGAGUAGCUAAGUGUGGAAGAGAUAACCGCUGAAAGCAUCUAAGCGGGAAACUCGUUUCAAGAUGAGAUCUGCCGGGGCCUUGAGCCCCCUGAAGAGUAGUUCAAGACCAGGACGUUGAUAGGUCAGGUGUGGAAGCGCAGUAAUGCGUUAAGCUAACUGAUACUAAUUGCUCGUGCGGCUUGACCU